UAAGAACAUUAGCAGUGUCGAUAUUGGUAUGGAACUAGGCAUUGACCACAAAAGUGUUUUAAACCAUUUACACAAAGCUGGAUAUUUGGGUUCCUCAUGAGUUGAGCGCGGAAAACAUGAUGAAUCGAAUCAACAUCUGUGACGCGCUGCUGAAACGUAAUGAAAUCGAGCCAUUUCUGAAACGUGUCAUAACCGGUGAUGAAAAAUGGAUCACGUACGAGAAUCGGAAGCGCCAAAGAUCGUGAACAAAAGAUGGUGAGCCGUCACAAGCGUUUGCGAAGCUAGGAUUGACGCUUAAAAAAGGUGAUACUGUAUGUGUGUGGUGGGACUGGAAAGGAAUCGACCACCAUGAGGUACUUCCAAUUGAUCGGACGAUUAAUCCUCAACUCUACUGUGAACAACUAGAGAGAUUAUGCCACGCAAUUAAAAAAAAUGGCCCGAAUUGCAUAAUAGGAAAAGUGUUGUCUUCCAUCGCGACAACGCCUGACCACACAUUUCUUUGACGACCCGUAAAAAAUUGGGAGAGCUUGGUUGGGAAAUUUUGAUGCACCCACCGCAUAGUCCAGACAUAGCACCCUCUGACUGUCACUUGUUCCGAUCUCUGCAGAACUCUCUCAAUGGAAUUAAACUGGCUUCAAAAGAAGCCUGUGAAAACCACUUGAUUCAGUUUUUUAAACAGAAACCGCAGAAGUUCUUCACCGAUGGCAUCGUGAUUCCACCCGAGAAAUGGCGAAACAUUGUCGAUAAUAAUGGAGCAUAUUUGGUUUAAAUAAAUUCGUUUUCACAAUAUAAGAAA